GAGGCUGAGGACAAAACAAGCUUCCUAUACCACAACUGGAAGGAAACAGAGAUGAUUAGCGUGGAAUCUGUAUAAGGAUAACAUACAGAUCCCCAAAUCAUCCCAUAGUUUU